UGUAGGUAGCGGUGGAGCCAGAGACUCAGCUCAAGCUCCAGCCAGCGGAAGGGACCACCUGGGUAUUCUCAAGAUCCAGUUCGGUUCCUGGAACCUGCUCGCUUGUGGCGUGAACGGCAGGAGGUGUCCGGUCUGCGGGUUGCGGAGGAUUGCGCGGGUGGCAAAGGGAGGGCUAGCGCCCCUGCGGCCCCAGACUGAGACCAGAACAUGCAUCAUUGUUAGACCCAUCACCUACAGCUAGCCUGGACACCAUUAAAGGGGCCCAUCAGCUGCAAAUGGAUAAAAGUAUCUGAUAUUUGUGAAGACAGUCUCAGAGCUUCUACCUGGAGUUACACUCUCUAGAAGCUCCAGCUUAGCCUUCCUGCACCCAGCCCCACUCCAACUAGUCACAAGUUGGCUGUGUAUGGUGUUUCUUAGCAACGAACACAGACUCUUCCAGCAGUUCCACAGGCCCUUUGUCUUCAGUGAGCAGAAGAUUACAGAAACUGGCUACUGAAGAGGCUGUCCAAGUGACUGAACUCCUUCUUGGCCUGACUUAGCACACUUACUAUGGAGCAGUAACUGAGUGCUGGAUGUUACUCAUUUGUGCUCACCACCUACAGGUACGUAGAGAGAUUUGUCAGACCUUGUUUCACUAAGGACCACCCUCCAAGGAUCUCUACAGGAGGCUGCAUAUAGAGAGAGGCAGGCUUCCUAGGGUCUCCACUGCCUUAGGUUCCACAUGGACACCUCCAGGGCUGAGGGAAUUUGUAUCUCUUUACCUACCUGUAAUCCACAUAUCAACUAGAAAAUUCUGCCUCCUGCUAUUUUUGUUUGUUUGUUUGUUUAUUCAUGUAUUAAUUUUUGGUAGGAAAAGUUUUAACUGCUGCUUCAAUUUUCUUACUAGGUAGAGGACUAUUCAGGAUUUCUUUUUCUUCUUGUGUUAGUUUUGGUAAGUUAAAGUUUUCUAGGAACUGGUCCAUUUUGUCUGAAUUCUCAAAUUUAUUGGCAUAAACUUCCCUUAUUUUUUAUUCUCUGCUGUAUGUAAUCUGUAGUUAUGUCUUUUUCAUUGCUGAUAUUGGUUAUUUGUGCCUUCUCACUUUUUUUCUUGAUAAAUCUCACCAGAGGUUUGUCUAUUUUAUUAGUCUUUUCAAAGAACCAACUUUUGGCUUUGUUGCUUCUCUCUAUUUUG